GACUACAUGAAGCUGGAAUCGCUAGUAAUCGCGGAUCAGAAUGCCGCGGUGAAUACGUUCCCGGGUCCUUGUACACACCGCCCGUCACACCAUGGGAGUCGGAAAUGCCCGAAGUCUGUGACCUAACCGUAAGGAAGGAGCAGCCGAAGGCAGGUCGGAUGACUGGGGUGAAGUCGUAACAAGGUAAC
rnacentral:rRNA from 1 species